rnacentral:lncRNA from 1 species
GAGAUGGCCUCCUCUAGUGAGGGCUGUUCUCCUGGGAGGAAAGAACCGCUUGGCGAGAGAGAAGGAAGUGAGGAGUGGAUUUGUCAGCGGAGGGAGCUUGACGACACCGUAUUCCAAGAGAAAGCAGUGGCAUUAAAGGCACUGAAGGUGUUGCACGGGAGUUUAAGACUUCUGAGGGCAGCCUUCUCCUACCCCGCAAUUGUGCCUCAGCCUGGCCCUGCCCAUCAUCUCCGAAGGGGAGGUGGCCUCGGGCUCCAGAAAUAAAUAGCACGGUCCCGGCACUCUCCACUUUAAACUCCCCAUUCCGGCCACGGUGAGCGGCUCCUCACCCCCCACCCGUGACUCUUUCCUCACCUCCAUUCCUGUGUGACCUCAGGCAAGUCCUCAGCGUCUUACCCUCGGUUUCUUCUUCUCCCCAGCGGGGCUAAUAGUACUGGCCCAGAGGCCAUGUCGCCGAAAACUUCCGGUCUCCCAGCACAGCCCCUGGGGAAUGGCGCCUCCUCCCGGAAAGUGAACCACACACCCGGCUCCGCGGGAAACAGGUGACUUCCGCCAAACAGGAGACAAUGGACCUGGAAUGUUCCAGCUGCGUCCCAUUAGGUGCUCUGCUAACAUCCUACUUUCUCUUCUGAGCCCUCAGUACGCUGGUGCCAGGAGCUCCCCUGUCUCAAGGUUUCCACUGAUUCGGAGAAAAGUACCUUCAUUCACACCGAAUGGUCUUUGAAGCAACUUGGAUGGAGCUGGAGACCGUUAUUAGCAUCUGCCUGCUGCAUUUCAUCACGGAUGGUGAUGUGGAGCCCUUUGUCACUUCUGAAGACCUCACCCCAUGUUCUUCUGGAAGGAUGGGAGCCUCACACCGCUAUUCUCUCGUCUCUAAAGAAGGACCUCAGUUUACAUUCAAGAGUGCAUUGGCGGUAGAGUUUACCAGUCGUCUUAUGUUAAGUUGCACCACAGUGACAAGCAACCCCAACCCUGGUGGCCUGCAGUCACAGAGGGUUAUCCUCACUCAUGCUGUGCGUCAGCUGUGGGUCGGAUCCAGCUCUGCUCUGUGUAUUCUUGAUUUCAGGAGCCAGCUGGAAGAGAAGCUACAUCUGAGACUUAACUAUUCUCAUGGCAGAGAGAAAAUGCCAAUGAGGGAGCCCCCUGCUGCCUCUUGGUCAAGUCUUUCAUUCAUUCAGUCCUUUACAUUUGUUAAGCAACCAUAUGUACUACCACAGUCCCUCCUCUUAUGUAGUUUACAGUCUUGUGCAAGUAAUCAACUUGUUAAACCUAUAAGGUAAGUACAUUAAAAGAAAGUAACACUGGAUCAUGAGGAUGCAUCAUGGAAGAAUUUCAUCUGGUCUUGGUGGGCAGGGAAAUAGCAUCAAAGAAGACUUCUCCAGAACAGCGUCCUUUGAACUAAGAUCUAAAGGAUGUAUAAGAAUUAACUAUGCAAAGGAAGCCAAGAAGGCAGAGAAUUGCAUGUGCAAAGGUCCUGUGGCAGGUAAAGGUUGAUUCAUUCAGGGCACUGGAAAAGAAAAGGCAGGAUCAUGGGUUUGAAGUGAACAAGAAGUGGUGGGAAAUGGUGUUGGGGAAGCUUUAUGGGUCAAGCUUCUUGGCCUCUUCCUACAUACAUGGGAAGGUGUUGAAAGAUUUUAAGUCAUUUAAUAAUAUUUACUUUCCUAGAUGGGGAAAAUAUUACCUUCUAGGUCAGUCAACCUCAUAAGUAGUGAUGAAUUAAUUACUAAAACUGGACUCUAAUAAUGGCAUCUGAUGGAGACAUUUUAUCAGGCAGUAUUGAUACUUCCUCAACAGAAUUACUGAGCCAUUGUGAAGAAAUAUAUGUACUGCUGGGAUAAGGCUGUCUUCCUCAUAUAGCUUUAGAAAGAAGGGAGAGUGUACAAGAUCAUUUGAAAGAGGCUGAAAUGCAGACAGUAUCAUCAAUUACUUGAUGAAACAUCAAUCCCUUUUUUUCAGAGUUGGAUCACAAUGUAUAUAAAACAGUGCCCUGUGAAGAGGUAAUUAUUGUAAUUGAGUCACAUACCUGUUGUUCUUUCUGGGAGCCAAUUGGUUCCAUGAGAAUAGAGUAAAAAAGAUAUGUGCUACCAGUUUGAUAUUGGAAAUUUUGUGAAGUCUAAUCUAAAAUUAGGCUUCAAAUUCUCCCCUACUCCAAACACACCCCUGCUAUGACCCAUGAUUCCACCUGAUAAAGAUUAGAGAGUUAAACAGAAAGAUAUUUUCAUUAUUUCUUCCAAAUACCAACACCUGGACCCUUCCAUGAAUUUAUCUGUUUGUAGGGUAAGGCAAUCACUUCCCUUAAUCUUACCAAGCAGCUGUUCCAAGACAUUAAUUGCCCUGUCAUUUAUAUGUCUCAAAAUGGUGCCAUUUGACAGUGGCACACACUUCAAUUUGUUUGCUGUGUCAGACUGUGUUGCACUGGUUACCACUUUGCAGCAGGUUUUCUAGAUGACUUUCAUGGGUUUGUAAUACACAAGUGCUGUUAAAAAGUUCCCUUUAAGAGAAUCUCUGCUAUUCAUCAUCAUUAACCAGCCCUAUGGCAAUCAAUACACUACCCCCAUUGUGUAGAGGAGUCUUGAGAAUUGACAUCAACUCAUAGUUUCUAAUCCCAAGCUUCAGUCUUGCCGUCAGCAGAGAAAUAAAUGCAUACAUGUACACAUAAUGUUUCUUUGCAUGAAUAAUGAAAAAUGACUAAUGCUCACAAGCAACCGUUUGGAAUCAAGACAUGCUUCCUGUUCAAACCAUCAUGUGUUCACUCAGCUUCGUCGGCCAAUGAUAGAGCAAUUUUGAGGGUUUUAUUCCGUUAGCUGACAGCUCCCCAGACAGACUACAAAG